rnacentral:lncRNA from 1 species
GUGAGAGGGGCGGCAGGCUCCGCCAGCACGGUGACCCUGGGCGAGCGAGGUAGGGAGGCAUCACGACAGGUGGAGGUGGUGAUGCAGGCCUUUAAUCCUAGCCGUUGGGAGGCAGGAGCAGGAGAAUCUCUUGAGUCCAGGACUGCAGAAGAGACUGAGAAGCUGAACACCCCUGGCUCGAUCCUACUCAUGGGUAGGACCACAGGAGAGACCUCGGCCCCAGAGCAGUCAUGAGAAUCAGUCUGGAAAUAGGUCAUCUUCCACGUGGACUUACACUAUGGCAGAGACACUGUCCCCUGAAGCAACCCUAGUCCUCAAAAUCUAUCCAAGACACAAGCAGGCAGCUGCAAGAUAGAGGCAGAGGGACCCUGCAGACAGCCACAACUAUGCAAAGUAUGUCUCCAAUGGCAAAGAGGCUACUGCAGUCACCUCUAUGGGAAUUAAGGAAAAGUCGUAUCUAUCACCAACACUUCAGAAGAAGAAGGCUGUCUCACCAUCCUCACUUCUGGCCAUAAAACAUCUCCCUUAAUUUUGUCCCAUGUUAAAGUUCCAUCACACCAAUGAGAAUAUCAAGUAACAUCACACAAUACAGAAAACAACAUGGAGUCAGAAGAAGCAAACACAACCCCAGCCCACCCCACCCCUACUCCAUCAAUCAGCUCUGGGGUUAGAGAGAGCUGCCACAGGAAGACAGCUGCAGAUGAGCCGGAUGGAGCUCACCACAGCCUCUCCUUGCCCUUCCAGCCUUCGGGAUAAUAACAGACAGGUUUCUGAGGAGUGUAAGCUGACAAGAUUAAUGCAGAUU